rnacentral:rRNA from 1 species
GAUGCUCGCUCUUCUACCGACCUACAACAAGUGCACAGAGGUUGAAGAGUGGAUGAGCCAGGUGUGCACAUGCCCCGAAAGGCCAGCYACAACCUGUUCAGUUACUCGUUAAUGAUCCUUCCGUAGGUGAACCUGCGGAAGGAUCAUUAACGAGUAACUGAACAGGUUGUAGCUGGCCUUUCGGGGCAUGUGCACACCUGGCUCAUCCACUCUUCAACCUCUGUGCACUUGUUGUAGGUCGGUAGAAGAGCGAGCAUCUAAUGCUUGCUUGGAAGCCUUCCUAUGUUUUACUACAAACGCUUCAGUUUAAGAAUGUUUACCUGCGUAUAACGCAUUUAUAUACAACUUUCAGCAACGGAUCUCUUGGCUCUCGCAUCGAUGAAGAACGCAGCGAAAUGCGAUAAGUAAUGUGAAUUGCAGAAUUCAGUGAAUCAUCGAAUCUUUGAACGCACCUUGCGCUCCCUGGUAUUCYGGGGAGCAUGCCUGUUUGAGUGUCAUGGUAUUCUCAACCUUCAUAACUUUUGUUAUCGAAGGCUUGGACUUGGAGGUUGUGCUGGCUUCUAGUUAAGUCGGCUCCUCUUAAAUGUAUUAGCGUGAGUGUAACGGAUCGCUUCGGUGUGAUAAUUAUCUGCGCCGUGGUCGUGAAGUAACAUAAGCUUGCGCUUCUAACCGUCCUUCAGUUGGACAAUUACUUUGACAUCUGACCUCAAAUCAGGUAGGACUACCCGCUGAACUUAAGCAUAUCAAUAAGCGG